UACGAGGGGGGCGAGCGUUGUUCGGAAUUACUGGGCGUAAAGGGCUCGUCGGCGGCCAACUAAGUCAGACGUGAAAUCCCUCGGCUUAACCGGGGAACGGCCUCUGAUACUGGCUGGCUGGAGUUCGGGAGAGGGAUGCGGAAUUCCAGGUGUAGCGGUGAAAUGCGUAGAUAUCUGGAGGAACACCGGUGGCGAAGGCGGCAUCCUGGACCGACACUGACGCUGAGGAGCGAAAGCCAGGGGAGCAAACGGG
rnacentral:rRNA from 1 species